rnacentral:rRNA from 1 species
UAGUAACGGCGAGUGAAGCGGGAUGAGCUCAAGCUUAAAAUCUCCGUGCAAUUUUUGCAUGGCGAAUUGUAGUCUAUAGAGGCGUGGUCAGUGUGGGCACUUAAGGUAAGUUCCUUGGAAAAGGACAGCAUGGAGGGUGAUACUCCCGUUCAUCCUUGAGUUGCUUGUGCGUACGACCCGUUUUCUUCGAGUCGCGUUGUUUGAGAAUGCAGCGCAAAGUAGGUGGUAAAUUCCAUCUAAAGCUAAAUAUUGGUGCGAGACCGAUAGCAUACAAGUACCGUGAGGGAAAGAUGAAAAGAACUUUGAAAAUAGAGUUAAAGAGUACCUGAAACUGCUGAAAGGGAACCAAAUCGUUUCCAGUGUCUAUAAUCCGUGGUAUAUUUCAUUGGCGAGUGUGUGUGUGCGUGUGCUAUAGCAGUGGCCUUUGGCUGCGCUUGGUGUGUGUGCUGCGUGUGCUUGCUGGUGCCCUGUGCUGUGGUGGGACGUCAAGGUCAGUUCGUAUGCUGCGGGAAAUGGCUACCGAGGAGGUAGGGCUUACGCUUGCGUUUGUCUGUUAUAUCUUGGUAGACGAGUAGUCGCGGUUGGGACUGAGGUGCCUACAACGUGCUUUUGAGUGGGCUUGGGUCUCUGUGUGCGCCGUGUGCGGAUAGCUURCUAUGCGUGUGUGGUUGUGUGUGGAU